GUUCCUGGCUCAGGACGAACGCUGGCGGCGCGCCUAACACAUGCAAGUCGAACGGAGCUUAGAGAGCUUGCUUUUUAAGCUUAGUGGCGAACGGGUGAGUAACGCGUGAGUAACCUGCCCUAGAGUGGGGGACAACAGUUGGAAACGACUGCUAAUACCGCAUAAGCCCACGGUGCCGCAUGACACUGAGGGAAAAGGAUUUAUUCGCUUUAGGAUGGACUCGCGUCCAAUUAGCUAGUUGGUGAGGUAACGG
rnacentral:rRNA from 1 species